GUUACGGCGGACGAUAAUGUCGAGAACAUUCUAGAAGGUGUGAGAAAGAAAAUAUUCUCAAACUUUCUCGAAUAUCCUAGAGCCUAGCUCUCUGAAUAUAUAAGAGCCCGAUUCGUAGCAAUUUCGAAACGAAAAGGAAAUAAGUUAUCU